GGGCUCAGUGUGAGUUUGACCUGUGUAGAGAGUAGGUGUAUGUGCGAUCACUUAUGUGUGUAGUGAAGGGGUUAGCUACUAUAGCCCCAACCCAUACCAUGGGAUGAGGGAAGGAAAAUUACCUCUAAGGACUAUACUACAGAAUUUUAUCAACCAUGUGGAUACGUUAGAAGCCAAGAGAACCGAGGGAGAUGAUCAGUACGAACAAGAGUUUCAGGACCUGAAGCUCCUGACAGAGAGCUUGAAAGGUCGACCUGAGUACUGCUGUCUCGAGGGCGAAAAAGAUGUCAACCGACGUAAGAAUCGUUACAAGGACAUCCUUCCAUAUGAUUACACGCGAGUGGUGGUGAGCAGUUUCCCGGGGGUGCCAGGCAGCGACUACAUCAAUGGCAACUACAUCCGGGGGGCCAGCGGGUCCAGGGCAUAUAUUGCCUCACAGGGCCCGCUGCCCCACACCACAGCUGACUUCUGGAGGAUGGUUGUGGAGUGCGAAGUCCAGGUCAUCAUUAUGGCCUCCAACGAGACGGAGGGAGGGAAGCACAAGUGUGAGUGUUAUUGGGUAAACAGUCAGAAUGAGGAGAGGCAGUUUGGGAAUGUCACAGUUUCCUUUGUGAAGGCCAGGCAAGUUUGUCCAGACUUCAUGGUUCGAACACUCAAGAUCAGAUACCCCACAGACUCCGGCAAGACAGAAGAACGAACAAUCUGUCAGUUCCACUAUGUCCUCUGGCCUGAUCAUGGAGUGCCAGAGACUGUCCGACCACUGCUGGACAUGGUGCGGUUGGUGAGAGACUGUCAAGCAUCGGAGACAUUGCCUGUUCUUGUUCAUUGUUCAGCUGGCUGUGGCAGAACAGGAACGAUUUGUGCAAUUGAUUAUGUAUGGGGUCUACUGAGAGCUGGGCGUUUAACAGAAAAUCUGAACCUCUUCGGCCUUGUAAAGGAAAUGCGUAGACAACGUGUUGCCAUGGUGCAAACGAGGGAACAGUACAUUCUCUUGCACAGAGCGGUUCGAGAGCUUUUCAAGGAAAGAUUGAAGGUUAUAGAUGCUCAUCCAUAUGAAAAUAUAGCUACUGAUGGUACACCUCUAAUUUUGAGGGAAAAGGAGAGUGACUAUGAGGAACUAUAUGUAAAACCUGAGAAGCAAGAUGAAAGUGCCAAGCCAACUCCACCAACAACAGCCCCAAGUGCCGUAUCCACACCGACUGGCUCUCUUACUCGAUAUUCAAAUAUACGAGGAAAUAAUGAUUACCUGGCAUCAAGCUCACCAAUAAAUAGCUUGGAGAGGCCAGUGGUGCCUGUUCCACCACUCCCUCUGAAACUCUGCAAGCCGCCCCCCGUUACUUCAUGUCUGUCACCGCACUCUUCGCCUAGCCCCCACAUUUCACCCAUCCCACAGCCAUCACCUGUCCAAAAUCACUGCUCACCUGUCCCUCAGCCAUCGCCUGUAUCACUUCCAACUGCUAACCAGGCUCACCGUAGCUACUCUAUCUCUCCAUCUCUGCCUAUGGUUACAAGCACUCUCCAACCUGUAGUUACUGUCACAAGUUCCAGUUGCUCACCAGGAGGAUCUCAUCUCUUCUCGCAAUUAUUGCCCAACCCUUUCCAAGUCACUCCAUCAAAUAGUAAGGCCGGGAUCCACCCAACAUCAAAACUAGAGAAAGAUGCCGAAAAUGCGGCUCACAAACGGCAAGUUGCACAACCCUCUGGUUCCUCCCCAGCUGGUGGAGUUACACAGAGAACCAUGCAAACUCCUACUGUAUCUGGAAGCCCACAGCCUUUAUCCUCUAGUGCCACAACACCUUUAAAUACACCAAACCAUACUCCUACUCCACUACAUAGCCUGAGUAUGUCACAGUCCACACAUCAUUUGAAUCCAGUCCCUCCAGUGCGAAGUAGAACACCCUCCCCGGGGAUGACCUAUGGGAGAUCCGUAGAAGAAGGAAAGCACAAUGUAGUCCAUAACAACCAGUUAAGUCAAGAGACUAGCACUAAGAGCAGUGAGAUUGUACGUCGACCAAGCAUAGCAGAGCUCAAAGAACUAUUUGAAAAAGCUGGUGAUGCUGAGACUCCUGGAGUGAGACUGUCUCGCAGUGCUAGCAGUGUAACAUCAAGAACUAGCCUGAGUAUUCAUCCAGAUGCAGAUGGAGGCUUUCGCAUUAAAAGAAAGAGUAGUUUAGGGGCUGAAGAAACUCUACAAUCAAAGAAAGCAUAUGAGAUGUUAGAAAGACAACGCCAUCUGAACAUCUGCCCUCCUCCACCAUAUGAGUCUUCAAAGGCUGCAGCUGUAUCAACAGCACCUGUUACUGUUGUAAGUGCUGCCAAACCACCUUCUAGUCCUGUGUACACUAGCCCCUUGUCACGGAGGAGAGCCACCCACAACCUAAAUGACUCCCAAGAUGAUAAUUCUCAUUCAGCUUUGUUGGCAAGAGUAGAUGACAGGCCUGCUUUACCUGUCAAAAAGAGCAAGUCUUUUAGAUAUGCUCGGCCUGUAGACUCUUCCACAAAUACCAUAGCCUCAACAAGAAGUCCAGAAUUAACAAGGAAGAAAGCAGAUAUAAAUACUUAUUUCAGCUUAGAUAGAGGAAAAGGAGACAGCUUUUCACUCAAUAAGUCAGAAAGUGGCAGUGUUAACUUCAUAGGAGAUAUUCCAUCACCAAGAGAAGGUUUCAAAUUAUCAGUCUAUCAGAUGCCCAAUACAUCACAGUCAUCAAAGCCAGGUGUAAGCAGUAAUGAAACUAAAGAUCAAAUUACCCCAGAAGUUAAAUUGGACCAAAAGCCACAGAUACCUCCCAAGAAAAUCAUAGGUGAGCGCUUUCGUAAUGCCCGACCACCAGAUUCUCUAUAUAUUGGUGCACCUCAACCAUAUACCCCGACUACCAUGUUCCAAGGUACAAGCACCCCACAUACUCCACAGUCUGCACCUCCAGUCAUUUCAUCAACUCUUAAUGGUUCACCAUUUUGGAAUCCUAAUCAAGUGGAUAGGUCAAUAUAUGACUGUCCAAAGGAACUACAGGCGGUUUCGGGACUUAACUAUGAUAACAUGCCUUCUACUUCAGUUGCAACUUCCACUGCAAAUAACCAAAAUUUGUAUUCAUCCCAUCCAGCAGAUACCAGAAUACAUACAAGUGGUACUGCUCACACAUCAGCUGCUCUCCCUAAACCAUCUCCAACCACAGAACUUUCUCAAGAGACAUCAAGUGCAAAGGAAUAUGUUAAUGCAAGGGUAGUAAGGAAUCCCAACAUAGACACAAAAGAACCCACAAGAUAUGUUUAUGUUCCUCUGCCAACCAAAAGAGGAUCUCGAGAUAAUAAGGCACCUCAUGAAUAUGCAAACUGCAGUUUGAGUGCACAGUCAGAUUCUAUGGAAGGAGAAGAUCCAACAGAGAUAUAUAUGGACUCACAAGUUGUGAAGAAAGGAGCGCCUGGUAAGUUCCCUGUAUAUGAUGAAGUAAUUCCAACUGCACAGUCAAAGACUGAAAGCACUAUCAACAGGUCUACUUCUAAAGAGAACAUAUCCCUUCCCAUAUCUACUUCAGCAUCACCAGGAUCACAUAGCACUCCAGGCUCAGCUACUACCCCAGGAUCUGCAGACUAUGAGGUAAUGGACUUUGGUGAAACAAGUACUAGUGUUGAUGAGGUGUUUGAAACUGUCAACUAUGAAUUACUUGGUGCUAAAGACAGAAGAAUACACAGAAAUACAGAGAAUAAACAUUCAGCAGAGAAUGUAAAGGACUUUUGCUCUAAAAAGGAUUUAGAUCCAAUUGCUCGUCAGGUAUAUCUAGACUGCCAGGAUUACCUCCUUCAUGGUACCAACAAAUCUCCAGUGCCAUCCCUUAUGCCAAAACCUUCAGAGAAAGAUGCUAAGAAAGUAACAAAACCAACAGAUAUGUCUAAAAGUGUUACUUCAGCUCUAGAUACAAGCAUGGAUGUAGAUGAGGUGAAAAGCAAAGUAAAUGUGGCACCUCAAGGGCUAAGGACCAGAGAGCGUCGAAACAGCUACAGGCAGGCAGUAAAUCCUGUCACACAUAAUGAAACCAAAACUACAGAAGAAAAAACAAGUGGAAAGUCUGAGCCAAACCGAAGCAUCCACAAGUAUGAGACUAUUUGGUUUGAGAAUGGAAAGCACAUGACAAGGAAAAAUAAUCCAAGCCCCAAUAGUCAACAAAAUUUACAUCAACAGGUUUCUAAAUCAGCAAGUGUCCCAGCAGAGAGAGAAGACCUUCCACAACAAAGAGGAAGUUCAAGUGUUUACAUGCAAGUUAAGAACCCAUUGGCUGAAGAUCAUGGGUCCAAUUUUAACCAGCUGUCAAAUAAUAAAGAUUCACUUUUUAAAGAAAAAUUAGAAGAGUUUCAUACACUUGUUAAUAGCAUUGAGUGGGAAAAGCCAGUGAGAAUGAGUGCUGCCUCUCCAAGACUUUUGGAAGAUGAUGCCAACUCUAAGGGAUCUGGAAGUAAUAACAGCACCCUGCAGUCCCAUUCUACAUCAUCAUCCAGAGAUGGUGAACAACAAGAGCCAAUAUAUGUCAAUACUCCACCUCUCUUACCUGUCUCAAGAACUUUGUCAUCCGGUAACAAAGGUCAGCUACCCCCGAAAGCUACCAGAAAUUGUGAUCCAAUUGAGCCAAGAUCACCCCCACCUUUGCGCCAUAGUCGCACUGAAGGAAAAUUUGACAACACAGACUCCAGAACUGGACAACAGUCACCAAUCAUUAAUGCAAAUUCCUUGUAUGGUACCAUAGCAACCUCAACUGUGCGGCUUAAACCACCUGGAAGUAAUUCUUCUUCACCGUCCUUCCAAAACUUUUCUCAAAAUCAGGCAAAGCCACCAUCACCCUAUCAUAGUUUAGUAUCUACAGCCACUCUUCCAUCAAGAACAACAAUAUCUCCAACACCUUACCAUAAUAUACCACCACCCAAAGGCUUUGGUAAUGGAACUUCCCCUGGUAAUUCUCCCAAUCCAAUCCACUCUCUACAGCAGAACCGAGAAAAUCACGAACCAUUGUCGUCUUCACCAUAUUACAAUAUGGCCAUGUUUACCAGUGGCAAGCCCAAUCAAGUACAAAGAAAUAUUCCAAUAUCAACAUCAGGACAAGAUUCAAGUCAGAUGGGCAAAGCUGGCUUUUUACCAUACACUUCACCACCACUAAUCUCAAAUGUUGUGCGUCAGAACUUCACACACAACCAACCUCCCAAAGCCCACAUCAUAGGAGAUAUUGCCAUAGUUGGAGAAGAAUCUGUGCGACUCAGACGUCCUGGGUUAGCACCACAUCCUAGAACUGAUGUUGGAAGUGGGUGCAGUAGCAAUGACUCAAGAGGUUCUGAAGGAGCGCCUAUUGCCCCUCCAAGAAUAAAGAGGAAUUCAACUGCUGGCUUACCCAGACAUAGUGCUAUUGAGCCUUCGUCACACAUCCACAAUGACAGGCGUUGCUCAACUGAUGGUCCUGAAACCUACCGCCAAACGAUGAUAACAGCAAAACAGGAAGGACUGAAGUAUCACUUCUUCUAGUCGUGGUUAAGAUGUCUGGCUGGUGCUGGCUAGCAUAUCCAGCUUCAUCAUUACAACAUGAGUACACCAACUCACUUGUGCCAGCCAGCCAGCCCUAGCUGGCCCCUUGGUGAUGAUGAACCUCCACCAGCAGUGCCAGCCAAAACAGCAGCAGCGUAUCAGUACUCGGAUCCACCACCACCACCUCCCCACAACCACCCACCCAGCCCCCACCACCUACC
rnacentral:misc_RNA from 1 species